GAUGGAAAGAAGAAGUCAAACUAAAACUUAUAUCUACAUGACCAAGGACCGGAAGUUUCUUCUCAAAAUUUGGUAUUGAACAUGCUCUGAGCAUAUCUUCUCUUGUAGUCUUGCGUAUUGGGAUUGUUCCUGGAGGGCAGUUUCCUUUUUUGCUCCAUAUUUAAUAAUUUACACUAGGAGCGUUUUUCUCACUGAUCAAUCCUGCUGGAUCAUAACUCCGUCUCAUCUGUCAUUAAAAGUAUAAGUAGAAAGAAAAAUAUUAAGAAUAAUAAAUACAAAUAACACAUUUUAAGUAGCUGUUUUUAUGGAGAUUUUGGAUUGUUUUCUUUUUUUAGUUAGAGAAGCAUAUUUAAAAAGGGGAUUGUAUACAAUGAAACAAUUUACCUUUGAUUCAAGGUGGUCACAAUUACUUACAAUCCUCCGAUGUGAAAUUUGAUAGUUUGGAUGUGUCAUAAGGUUCGAGAAAUUUUUUUUUGAAGUUUGAGUUUGGUCAAUGGAAUAAUUG
rnacentral:lncRNA from 1 species